AUGCACGCUGGCGGCGUGCCUAAUACAUGCAAGUCGAGCGAACAGAUGAGGAGCUUGCUCCUCUGACGUUAGCGGCGGACGGGUGAGUAACACGUGGAUAACCUACCUAUAAGACUGGGAUAACUUCGGGAAACCGGAGCUAAUACCGGAUAAUAUAUUGAACCGCAUGGUUCAAUAGUGAAAGACGGUUUUGCUGUCACUUAUAGAUGGAUCCGCGCCGCAUUAGCUAGUUGGUAAGGUAACGGCUUACCAAGGCAACGAUGCGUAGCCGACCUGAGAGGGUGAUCGGCCACACUGGAACUGAGACACGGUCCAGACUCCUACGGGAGGCAGCAGUAGGGAAUCUUCCGCAAUGGGCGAAAGCCUGACGGAGCAACGCCGCGUGAGUGAUGAAGGUCUUCGGAUCGUAAAACUCUGUUAUUAGGGAAGAACAAAUGUGUAAGUAACUAUGCACGUCUUGGCGGUACCUAAUCAGAAAGCCACGGCUAACUACGUG
rnacentral:rRNA from 1 species